UCCGGUGUACGCAUCAUCACCGUGAUUCAGCUUUGUUAAAAACUUUGUUAAGCUAUUUUUUUCAGGAUUUUUGGGGGUUAAGUUUUGUGAUAUAGAUACAGAUAUUGAUUUUCAUUUCAGACUGCAGAUUUGACUUUCUGCUUCAUGUGUAUGUCUGCCAUGAACGGCAGCGUCAGCUUCAGCAACUGGAAAGAUGCCUCAAAGAAAUCAAAGAAGCACAAGCUGCAACUACUGGCUCUUAGACCAGUAGCCUACUCUGUGCUUCAGUCGGUAAGUGAUGUGUCGUAUGAAAUUUCCAAAGACUCGGAAUACGUGCGUGAAUUAUCGUCGUGAAGAGCCAUAGUGACAUAUUAAUUGCUACAUUUAACUUGUGAUAUCUAUAUCGGUUACGUGAUCAAGCGAAGUAGUGGUGAUCUAUGUAAGACUAUUAUGUAUAGCCAAAUGUACUACGAUACACUUAACAUCGCUGUCACUCUGUAUAUCGUCAAAAGAUGCGACCAGUCGCAGUUACAAAAUCUACCACCACUUUCAGGACUUGCUUCUCCACAGUAUCACAACAGACAACACUGCAUCCGAAGACUGUUGUAUAUGUUGUUUAAAGUAUCAAAUGGGUAACAGAAUAUGCUCAAACCGAAAAACAAGACAUUGCCCCUAGCGAAGACGAAAUCUAGAAUAUCUUGCGUUCACUGUGGCCAAGACAAUCAUGACUGUAUGAAUGUCGACUGAAGGACGCAAUAUGUCAUUUUUUUUUCAGUCUAAAGGUCACAUUCAGACACUAUGUCGUAAAGCAAAGAACGCUAGUUACGUCGACACGGUAGAAAAUGAGCAUGAGGAGCAAAAGGGUAUUACAUAUGUGAACUUUAAUUUAAACAUCGUCAAAAUCAACGGAAAAUUCUUAUUUCUCCUAUGAUUGACGGCACGGAAGUGCAAAUGCAUAUUGACACCGGAUCCGCCUCAAACUCAUGCCUGGAAAUACAUCCAAAUGUGCAAUUAAAGGCACCUGGUGCAGUUUUAAAACUAAUUCAGGUGAUGGUUGUUAAAGGAAGCGUUCCAACAUUAAUUGACCAGCACUGGCUAUAAGUUGCAUCAAACUGGACUGUCUACAGUAACAUUUUGCAAGUGAAUGAUGCUAACAACGUAUUAAGGACAAACUCGCAAAAGACGAAAGCAUAUUCUAUGACGAAAUUGGCACGUGAAGGUCAUGAAGGCCAAGUCUAUUUCUAAGGACGGCGCUAUGUCCAAAUUUAUGUAGGCAAGGUCAGUAGCAUAUUCAUUAUCUUGAUUACGAGCUCAAUUUCUAAAAGUAGGACUUGGAUAAAACUUCUACGCAGCUUGAAUCUUUGCGGACACUUGUUAGAAGCAAAUGUGAAAGCACUGCAUCAGUGACAAUUAGUUAUGUUGUGCAGUUGUUUAAGGACAUAAAACCGAACUGUAAUGUGAUAUUCUCGGAUAUAGUGGUGGUUGACCUUAAUCUCAGUCUUGUAACGCUACGUACGUUACGAACCGUUUCACAAACUGAAGUCUUCUCUGCGUAGUGCAGUGACACAGCUUCACCUCAUGAUGUUGCACGUGCACCAGGUGACACGACCCCGACAACAAUUGUCAUUUAAUUUAUUGAUAUUCACUUGAGUCGAUUUUAGUUCCUUUUGGAAGUGUAACUGGCAGAACGAUCCUCGGCGUCUAAAAUCUUAGGUUUUAUAACAAAUAAUUACUGCGAACUUCAGUUGUAGUCAGUUAAGUUUAAGUGUACUAAUGCGUUUUAAAUGAAUAUGAUAUCAUCCUGGCUACAGAUAAAUAUAACUUGACUAUUUAUAGUAGAUACAUACUUGAAUGAAACAAGUAUUAAAUAUGUAUUGUAUUAAAAUGCAUGAAAAUGAAUAUGAAGUGGUAGCUAUAUGCGUGUUAUUUUCUUCUCAUAUGUUUGUGUUAAUAUACUGUUUGUGUACCCAGGGCAAACUCUCAUCUUAUCCUUUUACUUGUCCAAUUAGUUGGCCAAGAACAUUUUUCAUAUUCUGGGUAAAUACAUAAACAAAUAAUACAUUAAAAAAUAAAGGAAUGCCCGUCUAUCAAAUGGGUUGGACCUGUAACAAUGCUACUAUGAUAAAAUUUUAUAUUUCAGCAAUCUUUUCUUUAUAUUUACGUGUAGUCUAGUACAUCACAUAUCUAUAUUCUCUUAGUCUGAUUGAUUAACUUCCGUGGCGCUAUCACGUUUUCACAUUGGUGGGUACAGUGCAAUAUAUAAGUUAAAAAAUACAAGUAACUUGCGUACACAUUUGUUGGAUAGAACAUAUAUUAUAUUUCAAUGUUGUUAUGGCAACAAAAGAAUGAUUACGAUCAUUUGAGUUCCUUUGAAAUCCCAUUGAAAACAUUACAAAAGUUUCAUUUACUUUUUGUCAAGCUUUAUUAAACGUGGUGGACGAAUAGCUCAGUGGUCGGGGGUUCGAUCCCCGGCAGCUUCUCGGAGUGUUACCCACCCAACUAGAGGUGUACUGGUCAGGAACCCAGGCAAUCCUUGCGUGUAUCAGUGCUAUACACUGGGCACGUUAAAGAACCAGGCUGUCUAUUCGCAACGAGCUAGGCUAAGUUAGCCGGACAAGCCUGUAUCUGAUUUCUGAUCUCUCUGUCGUGGGGGCUUUGUCUCACUCUGUCCCUCUGGUCAGAUCGCUCUGUGUCUGUACUAGUAGAGGAUGAAUUAUGCGCCCUGUGUGGCUGCAUUUGAACUAUGUAAAGCGCCUUUGAACGUGAAAUUGAUCAUGAAAAGGGCGCUGUAUAAAUCUGGUAUAAUAAUAAUAAUAAUUAAUUAUGUUGUUUUCAUGAUUAUACAUGUAAAUGUAUCAAAGGUAAGAACAUGUUAGCUUUCAUUUAUAUAGCAAUGUCUAUUUACACUGAUGUAAUGACUGUCAGAGAAUUUAACAGUGAUCACGUGUAACUGUCAUUUUUUAUGACAGAACGUAUCCGACAACUUCUCUAUAUAAUUAUAACAGUCCUACUGUUUAGUUCUAGUUUUAAACGUGUUAAACAGUAGGAAAGAAAGAAUUAUGGGUACCCAGGUAGCCGCGGGUAAUACAGCAACCGGUAGCUUUUAAAAAAAUGCUACCCUUAUCCUAGCGGUAUCUACUGGCCUUUAUAUCCCAGUUAGGUAAUUAAAAUACUCAAUCAUAAACGUAGUUAGUUUUUGUAAUAAUUAAUAAAAGAAAACACGAUACGAGACAAUCCAAUGCGACCUCUAUGAACUAAUCUUUUUAUAUAACCGGGAAGCAGCUAUCGAAUUACAAAAAGUUAAAGUCGUUCUUUCAGAUACAGAUAUAUACGACAUAUUUUUGAUGGCAAAAUCAAUAUAACUAUAAGUUACAAUUAUGUGUAUCAUUAUGACAUUUUUAACAUUUUAAUAGAGUGAAAAAAAUGCAACAUGACCAACGUGAAAUAAGGCAUACUUUUUAAGUUCUAAAAGGUGAAGGCGUUAAACGUUGGAUAUGCACAGAAGAACGUGAGAAAGAAAAAGAGAAAAUGGCAAAAGGCUCAGAUGAUAAAG